UACAGAGGGGGCAAGCGUUAUUCGGAAUUAUUGGGCGUAAAGGGCGCGUAGGCGGCUUGGCAAGUGGAUGGUGAAAUCCCUCGGCUUAACCGAGGAACUGCCGUCCAAACUGCUUCGCUUGAGACCGGGAGAGGUGAGUGGAAUUCCCAGUGUAGCGGUGAAAUGCGUAGAUAUUGGGAGGAACACCAGUGGCGAAGGCGGCUCACUGGACCGGUACUGACGCUGAUGCGCGAAAGCGUGGGGAGCAAACGGG
rnacentral:rRNA from 2 species